CAUGUUAGCUAUUAUUCUUAUAUAGAAGAACAAAGAGAUAAUACAAAACACAAUUAGCAGUGAAACCUUAUUCAAAAUGGCUUCUCCCAUCAGUCAACCUUAUUCCCUAGGAAUUUUAUGUAUUUUUUUUAUUUUGGCUUCAACAGGACCAUUAUUUGCAGAUGGUACGACACUUUUUCCUGGCAGGGUUUGUGACGAACCAUGCCAAGGUUAUGGAAAUUGCGCCACAAGUUGCGUUCAAAAGGGAUUUCGCGGCGGUAGCUGUAUUGGGGUUAUUCCGAGGGUUAUACUUUGUUGUUGUUUCAAGCAUUAACAAUACUUGAACUAAGUAAAUAAUAAUAAAAUAUGUAUGAAAUAAAAUAAAUGAUGAAAUGAUAUUUGGUUGGAGAUUCAUUUUAAUA